UACGUAGGGUGCGAGCGUUAAUCGGAAUUACUGGGCGUAAAGCGUGCGCAGGCGGUUCGCUGUGUCCGAUGUGAAAGCCCCGGGCUUAACCUGGGAAUGGCAUUGGAAACUGGCGAGCUUGAGUGUGGCAGAGGGGGGUGGAAUUCCGCGUGUAGCAGUGAAAUGCGUAGAGAUGCGGAGGAACACCGAUGGCGAAGGCAGCCCCCUGGGCUAACACUGACGCUCAGGCACGAAAGCGUGGGGAGCAAACAGG
rnacentral:rRNA from 1 species